rnacentral:rRNA from 1 species
AGAGUUUGAUCAUGGCUCAGAUUGAACGCUGGCGGCAGGCCUAACACAUGCAAGUCGAACGGUAACAGGAAGCAGCUUGCUGCUUUGCUGACGAGUGGCGGACGGGUGAGUAAUGUCUGGGAAACUGCCUGAUGGAGGGGGAUAACUACUGGAAACGGUGGCUAAUACCGCAUAACGUCGCAAGACCAAAGAGGGGGACCUUCGGGCCUCUUGCCAUCAGAUGUGCCCAGAUGGGAUUAGCUGGUUGGUGAGGUAACGGCUCACCAAGGCGACGAUCCCUAGCUGGUCUGAGAGGAUGACCAGCCACACUGGAACUGAGACACGGUCCAGACUCCUACGGGAGGCAGCAGUGGGGAAUAUUGCACAAUGGGCGCAAGCCUGAUGCAGCCAUGCCGCGUGUAUGAAGAAGGCCUUCGGGUUGUAAAGUACUUUCAGCGGGGAGGAAGGUGUUGUGGUUAAUAACCGCAGCAAUUGACGUUACCCGCAGAAGAAGCACCGGCUAACUCCGUGCCAGCAGCCGCGGUAAUACGGAGGGUGCAAGCGUUAAUCGGAAUUACUGGGCGUAAAGCGCACGCAGGCGGUCUGUCAAGUCGGAUGUGAAAUCCCCGGGCUCAACCUGGGAACUGCAUUCGAAACUGGCAGGCUUGAGUCUUGUAGAGGGGGGUAGAAUUCCAGGUGUAGCGGUGAAAUGCGUAGAGAUCUGGAGGAAUACCGGUGGCGAAGGCGGCCCCCUGGACAAAGACUGACGCUCAGGUGCGAAAGCGUGGGGAGCAAACAGGAUUAGAUACCCUGGUAGUCCACGCCGUAAACGAUGUCUACUUGGAGGUUGUGCCCUUGAGGCGUGGCUUCCGGAGCUAACGCGUUAAGUAGACCGCCUGGGGAGUACGGCCGCAAGGUUAAAACUCAAAUGAAUUGACGGGGGCCCGCACAAGCGGUGGAGCAUGUGGUUUAAUUCGAUGCAACGCGAAGAACCUUACCUGGUCUUGACAUCCACAGAACUUUCCAGAGAUGGAUUGGUGCCUUCGGGAACUGUGAGACAGGUGCUGCAUGGCUGUCGUCAGCUCGUGUUGUGAAAUGUUGGGUUAAGUCCCGCAACGAGCGCAACCCUUAUCCUUUGUUGCCAGCGGUUAGGCCGGGAACUCAAAGGAGACUGCCAGUGAUAAACUGGAGGAAGGUGGGGAUGACGUCAAGUCAUCAUGGCCCUUACGACCAGGGCUACACACGUGCUACAAUGGCGCAUACAAAGAGAAGCGACCUCGCGAGAGCAAGCGGACCUCAUAAAGUGCGUCGUAGUCCGGAUUGGAGUCUGCAACUCGACUCCAUGAAGUCGGAAUCGCUAGUAAUCGUGGAUCAGAAUGCCACGGUGAAUACGUUCCCGGGCCUUGUACACACCGCCCGUCACACCAUGGGAGUGGGUUGCAAAAGAAGUAGGUAGCUUAACCUUCGGGAGGGCGCUUACCACUUUGUGAUUCAUGACUGGGGUGAAGUCGUAACAAGGUAACCGUAGGGGAACCUGCGGUUGGAUCACCUCCUU